rnacentral:rRNA from 1 species
UACGUAGGGUGCGAGCGUUGUCCGGAAUUAUUGGGCGUAAAGAGCUCGUAGGCGGUUUGUCGCGUCGGCCGUGAAAACUUGGGGCUUAACCCCAAGCCUGCGGUCGAUACGGGCAGACUUGAGUUCGGCAGGGGAGACUGGAAUUCCUGGUGUAGCGGUGAAAUGCGCAGAUAUCAGGAGGAACACCGGUGGCGAAGGCGGGUCUCUGGGCCGUAACUGACGCUGAGGAGCGAAAGCGUGGGGAGCGAACAGG